rnacentral:rRNA from 1 species
CCUACGGGCGGCAGCAGUGAGGAAUAUUGGUCAAUGGGCGCGAGCCUGAACCAGCCAAGUAGCGUGAAGGAUGACUGCCCUACGGGUUGUAAACCUCUUUUAUCAGGGAAUAAAGUGAGGCACGUGUGCCUUUUUGUAUGUACUUUAUGAAUAAGGCUCGGCUAACUCCGUGCCAGCAGCCGCGGUAAUACGGAGGAUCCGGGCGUUUUCCGGAUUUUUUGGGUUUAAAGGGAGCGUAGAGGGGUUGUUAAGUCAGUUGUGAAAGUUUGGGGCUUAACCGUAAUAUUGCAAUUGAAACUGGCAGCCUUGAGUACAGGUGAGGUAGGCGGAAUGCGUGGUGUAGCGGUGAAAUGCUUAGAUAUCACGAAGAACCCCGAUUGCGAAGGCAGCUUAC